UGGGGAAUAUUGCGCAAUGGGGGAAACCCUGACGCAGCGACGCCGUGUGAGGGAAGAAGGCUUUCGGGUCGUAAACCUCUGUCAGGAGGGAAGAACCGAUUGGAGUCGAACAGGCUCCUUUCCUGACGGUACCUCCAAAGGAAGCACCGGCUAACUCCGUGCCAGCAGCCGCGGUAACACGGAGGGUGCAAGCGUUAAUCGGAAUCACUGGGCGUAAAGCGCACGUAGGCGGUCUUGUAAGUCAGGCGUGAAAGCCCUCGGCUCAACCGGGGAAUUGCGCUUGAUACUGCUCGACUUGAGUAUCGGAGAGGGUGGCGGAAUUCCAGGUGUAGGAGUGAAAUCCGUAGAUAUCUGGAGGAACACCGGCGGCGAAGGCGGCCACCUGGACGAAUACUGACGCUGAGGUGCGAAAGCGUGGGGAGCAAACA
rnacentral:rRNA from 1 species